GGCUCCCCGCCCCCCGCCCGGCCCCACCUCAGGCUUCCACUCUACCCACCCGCGGAACCGAGAGCCCGGUCCUUUUCCUGCUGCCGAGGACUGAGCGGCCCCGCGUGACAGCCAGCUGCUCCAGGCCCGGGUGGCUCCGGGGACAGUCGAGCGCCGGCAGCAGCUGGCCCUGGCCCCGGGUCUAGGCGUGGGUUCGGCCGCCGGGCCCGGUGGGAAGGGCCUAGCGCGGCCAGGCAUAUACUGGUUGGGCUCCAGCCAUGGCAAAACUCCAUCGGCGUGUGUCUACUCACCUGGACAUCCUCUCCUUGGAGAACCGGUGCCUGGCCACACUUCCUGACCUGAAGACCUUGGAGAAACCACAUGGGCAUGUGUCUACCCACUCAGACAUCCUCUCCUUGGAGAACCGGUGCCUGGCCACACUUCCUGACCUGAAGACCUUGGAGAAACCACAUGGGCAUGUGUCUACCCACUCAGACAUCCUCUCCUUGGAGAACCGGUGCCUGGCCACACUUCCUGACCUGAAGACCUUGGAGAAACCACAGGGGCGUGUGUCUACCCACUCAGACAUCCUCUCCUUGGAGAACCGGUGCCUGGCCACACUUCCUGACCUGAAGACCUUGGAGAAACCACAGGGGCGUGUGUCUACCCACUCAGACAUCCUCUCCUUGGAGAACCGGUGCCUGGCCACACUUCCUGACCUGAAGACCUUGGAGAAACCACAUGGGCAUGUGUCUGCCCACUCAGACAUCCUCUCCUUGGAGAACCGGUGCCUGGCCACACUCCCCACUCUGAAGAGCACUGUGUCCACCAGCCCCUUAACCCAGAAUCUCCAGAUACCUCACGUGGUGCAAUCUGACCUGUGCAGCCUGAGUGCCAGCAACCACCUGCUCUCUGAGCCUCCAGCCUCAAGGGCUCAGUGCUUCUCUGAGGGUCUAGGCCUUCUGACCUGCCCCAGGGUCUUGAAAACCAUCUCUGCCACAGAGAGAGCUCAGGAAGCAGCUUCGGGUCGAUGGUCUUCUGGAGAGAAAAAGCCAGAAGACAAGGAAUGGGCAGAGGCUCAAAUGCCUUUUUAUAGUCUAAGCUUGGGAGAGGCGGAGAAAGUGGAGGAGCUGACCCUGAAGCUCACCCCUGGGGACUCUGAGUCCCGUCCUGAGCCUGCUGACCAGGCCCUUCAGGAAAAGAAGAUGGUUCUAAUGAGCUUCCUCUGUUCUACUCUGGUGUCAGACGUAAACACAAAUGAUGCAGCUUCCUCUACCCAGGCGUUCCUCCUCCAAGUCUGUAGUGAACUUGCCCCCUUGGAGCCUGAAUUUAUACUCAAGGCAUCUCUGUACGCCAGGCGGCAGCUGAAUGUCCGGGAUGUGGCCAACAAAGUCUUGGCCAUUGCUGCCUCCUUGCCAGUCUGCCGCCCCUACCUGCGACGAUAUUUCUGUGCCAUUGUCCAGCUGCCUUCUGAUUGGAUCCAGGUAGCCAGGUUCUACCAGCUCCUGACUGGAGAAGAGGAGGACAGGCUGGUGCCCCUGCCUGCCUGCCUGCGUGCUGCGAUGACGGACAAAUUUGCCCAGUUUGAUGAGUACCAGCUGGCUAAGUAUAACCCUCGGAAGCACCGGGCCAAGAGGCGCCCCCGCCGGCCACCCCGCCCUCCAAAGGAGCAUACAUUUUCUGAGACACAGAAAUACUUGCCAAAGUUCAUUCGGCCUCUUCAAGAUGAACAGAGGAUGUUUGAGGCAACCUGCAGUGCAGUGUCAGAGAAAAAGAAUGAGCCAAGUUUCACCCUGAAGAAGUUGGUACAGAGACUGCACAUCCAUGAGCCUGCACAGCUUGUCCAGGCCCUCCUGGGCUGCAGAUACCCCUCCAACCUACAGGCCUUUUCUCGAAGUCGCCUCCCGGGGCCCUGGGAUUCUAGCAGAGCCGGGAAGCGGAUGAAGCUUGCUAAGCCAGAGACCUGGGAGCGAGAGCUGAGCUUGUGGGGGAACAAAGCUUCCGUCUGGGAGGAACUCAUCGACAGUGGGAAGCUUCCCUUCAUGGCCAUGCUUCGGAAUCUGCGCAACCUGCUGCGGGUUGGAAUCAGCACCCGCCACCACAACCUUGUGCUCCAGAGACUCCAGCAUGCUAAGUCAGUGAUCAACAGUCGGCAGUUUCCAUUCAGAUUCCUUAAUGCUCAUGAUUCCAUCAAUGACUUUGAGGCUCAACUCGAAAAGAAAGAGUUGCCACUUCCUUCCAACACAAAACUGAUAAAGCGGAUAAUAAUUAAAAACACAAGAUAUGGCAAGAAGUGUGCCUAUUCCUGGCAGUUUUACAAACCAAGUCGUCGGGAGCUUCGGGCAGCAAUGAUGAUCCCCGUGAUAUAUGAGCAGCUCAAGCGGAAGAAGCUGAAAAUACACAAGGCCAGACAGUGGAAAUAUGACCGUGCAAUGCUGGCUCAGUAUCGACAGGCCCUCGAGACAGCUGUGAACCUCUCCGUCAAACACAGCCUGCCCCCGCUGCCAGGCCGCACCCUCUUGGUCUAUCUGACAGAUGCUGAUGCAGACAGGAUCCUUCCCAAGAGCAACCCACAAGGGCCCCCUCUGAACUAUGUGCUGCUGUUGAUUGCAAUGAUGAUGACAUGGACAGAGCAGGUGGAUCUCUUGCUGUGUGGAAGUGGCACUGUGAAGACUGCUGUGAUUAAGGCAGAGGAAGGUAUCCUGAAGACUGCCACCAAACUCCAAGCUCAAGUCCAGGAGUCGGAUGAAAAGUGUGAAUCGUCCCUGCCUACUUUUGGGAAGCACUUGCUGUCCCUGGCUACCCAAAGGGUCCCUGUGGACAGGGUCAUCGUCUUUGGCCAGACUACGAAUGAGAAACUGAUAAAUGCAGCCAAACAGCUUUUCUGGCAACACGUGAAUCCCAAGUGCCUCUUUGUUGGUGUUCUCCUAAGAAGGACAGGUUACCUAUACACAGAUUUGAAUCCCAAUGACGUGACACUCUCAGGCUGCACUGACGGGAUACUGAAGUUCAUUGCAGAGCGUGGGGCCUCCCGCCUUCUAGAACAUGUAGGCCAAAUGGACAAAAUAUUCAAGAUUCCACCGCCCCCAGGGAAGACAGAGGUCCAGUCUCUCCGGCCACUGGAAGAGAAUACUCCAAGCCCCUUGGCUCCUGUUUUCCAACGUGGAUGGCGCAGCGUCCGGCUUUUCAUUUCCUCCACUUUCCGGGACAUGCAUGGGGAGCGGGACCUGCUGCUGAGGUCCCUGCUGCCAGCACUGCAGGCCCGAGCGGCCCCCCACUGCAUCAGCCUUCAUGCCAUCGACUUGCGCUGGGGCGUCACCGAGGAGGAGACCCGUCGGAACAGGCAGCUGGAAGUGUGCCUAGGGGAGGUGGAGAACUCACAGCUGUUUGUGGGCAUCCUGGGCUCCCGCUAUGGCUAUGUUCCCCCCAACUACAGCCUCCCUGACCGUCCUCACUUCCUCUGGGCCCAGCAGUACCCUUCAGGUCGCUCUGUGACGGAGAUGGAGGUGAUGCAGUUCCUGAAUCGGGGCCUCCGCCUGCAGCCCUCUGCCCAGCCUCUCAUCUACUUCCGGGAUUCUAGCUUCCUCAGCUCUGUGCCAGAUGCCUGGAAGUCUGACUUUAUUUCUGAGUCGGAAGAGGCUGCCCAUCGGCUCUCAGAACUGAAGAGCUACCUGAGCAGACAGGAAGGGAUCACCUGUCGCAGAUACCACUGUAAGUGGGGUGAUGUAGCAGCUGGCCGGCCCUAUGUUGGGGAGCUGGAGACGUUUGGGCAGCUGGUUCUGCAGGACGUGUGGAAUAUGAUCCAGAAGCUUUACCUACAGCCUGCGGCCCAGCCGGAACAGCCAGUGCCCAUCCAGGAUGAUGAUUUGGUCCAGGCCGCCUUUCAGCAGCUGAAGAACCCACCGAGCCCUGCCCGACCGCGCCUUCUUCAGGACACAGUGCAGAAGCUGAGGCGCCACCGGGGGAGGCUGAGCCUGGUGACCGGGCAGUCGGGACAGGGCAAGACCACCUUCCUGGCAUCCCUUGUGUCAGCCCUGCAAGCUCCUGAUGGGGCCACGGUGGCCCCCUUAGUCUUCUUCCACUUUUCAGGGGCCCGCCCUGACCAGGGUCUCGUCCUCACCUUGCUCAGACGCCUCUGUGCCUAUCUGCGUAGCCAACUGCAAGAGCCAAGUGCCCUCCCCAGCACAUACCGGGGCCUGGUGUGGGAGCUGCAGCAGAGGCUGCUCCCCAAGUCUGCUCAGUCCCUGAAAACCGGCCAGCCUCUGGUGCUGAUCAUCGAUGGGGCUGACAGGUUGGUGGACAAGCGUGGACGGCUGAUCUCGGACUGGAUCCCUAAGACCCUUCCCCGGUGGGUGCACCUGGUGCUGAGUGUGUCCAGUGAUUCCGGCCUGGGGGAGACACUCGAGCAGAGCCAAGGUGCCCAUGUGGUGGCCCUGGGGCCUCUGGAGCCAUCUGCCCGGGCCCGACUGGUGCGAGAGGAGCUGGCUCUGUACGGGAAGCGGCUGGAAGAGUCACCUUUCAACAACCAGAUGCAGCUGCUGCUGGUGAAGCGGGGGUCAGCCCUGCCGUUCUACCUGCGCUUGGUCACUGAUCACCUGAGGCUCUUCACGCUCUUCGAGCAGGUGUCUGAGAGACUCCGGACCCUGCCCGCUACCGUCCCUCUGCUGCUGCAGCACAUCCUGGGCACCUUGGAACAAGAGCAUGGCCCUGAUGUCUUUCCCCAAGCCUUGGCCACCCUUGAGGUCACCCGCAGUGGUCUGACCGUGGACCAGUUGCAUGGAGUGUUGAGUGCCUGGCGGAUACUUCCCGGGGGGACCAAGACCUGGGAAGAAGCAGUGGCUGCUGGUAACAGCGGGGACCCCUACCCCAUGGGUUCGUUUGCCUACCUCGUCCAGAGUCUGCGCAGUUUGCUAGGGGAGGGACCCCUGGAGCGCCCUGGUGCCCGGCUUUGCCUCCGUGAUGGGCCCCUGAGAACAGCCGCUAAAUGUCGCUAUGGGAAGAGGCCAGAGCUGGAGAAGACGGCACACAUCCUCAUCGCAGCUCAGCUCUGGAAGACGUGUGACCCUGAUGCCUCAGGUGCCUUCCGAAGUUGCCCUCCUGAAGCUCUGGGAGACCUGCCUUAUCACCUGCUCCAGAGCGGGAACCGUGGCUUUCUUGCAAAGUUCCUUACCAGUCUCCACGUGGUGGCUGCACACCUGGAACUGGGUCUGAUGUCUCAGCUCCUGGAGGCCCAUGCCCUCUAUGCUUCCUCAGUCCCUGACAAGGAACAGAAGCUUCCUGAGGCUGAUGUUGCUGUAUUUCACACCUUCCUGAGGCAGCAGGCUUCAGUCCUCAGCCAGUACCCACUGCUCCUGCACCAGCAGGCAGCCAACCAGCCUCUGUACUCGCCCCUUUGCCGCCAGGCCCCCCAGCUCUCCCAGCGAUGGUACCUCCAGCACAUGCUACGUUGGCUUAAUAAACCCCAGACCCUGAGGGGCCAGCAAAGCUCCAGCCUGUCCCUGGCAGUUUCCUCACCCCCCACAGCUGCGGCCUUCUCCCCCAAUGGGCAAAGAGCAGCUGUGGGCACUGCCAGUGGGACGGUUUACCUGUUGGACCUGAGAACCUGGCAGGAGGAGAGGUCUGUGGUGAGUGGCUGUGAUGGGGUCUCCUCUUGUUCGUUCCUCUCCGACAACGCCCUCUUUCUUACUGGCUUUGACGGGCUCCUGGAGCUCUGGGACCUGCAGCAAGGCUGUCGGGUGCUCCAGAUCAAGGCUCACCAGCACCGGAUCACCGGCUGCUGCCUGAGCCCAGACGGCCGGCUUCUGGCCACCGUGUGCCUGGGGGGAGGCUUGAAGCUGUGGGACACGGUCCGCGGGCAGCUGGCCUCCCAGCACGCCUGUCCCAAGCCUCUCAACUGCAUCGCUUUCCACCCAGAGGGGCAGGUGAUAGCCAUUGGCAGCUGGGCUGGCAGUUUCAGCUUCUUCCAGGUGGAUGGGCUCCAAGUCACCAAGGAACUGGGGGCCCCAGGAGCCUCUGUCCGCGCCUUGGCCUUCAGUGCGUCUGGGCGGGCUGUAGCUGUGGGCCGGCUGGACGGGAUGGUGGAGCUCUGGGUCUGGCAGGAGGGAACACGGCUGGCUGCCUUCCCUGCGCACCACGGCUUUGUUACUGCCGCCCUUUUCCUGCGUGCUGGGUGCCAGUUACUGACGGCUGGAGAGGAUGGCAAGGUUCAGGUGUGGUCCGGGUCUCUGGGUCGUCCCCGUGGGUGCCUAGGUUGCCCCUCUCUCUCUUCUGCCCUCUCUGUGGCCCUCAGCCCAGAUGGCGAUCAGGUGGCUGUUGGGUACCGAGCAGAUGGCAUUCGGAUCUACACAAUCUCUUCAGGUUCCCAGGGGGCUCAGUGUCAAGCGCUAGAUGUGGCAGUGUCUGCACUGGCCUGGCUCAGCCCUAAGGUGUUGGUGAGUGGUGCUGAAGAUGGGGCCCUGCAGGGCUGGAUGCUCCAGGGAGGCUCCCUUCAGUCCCUCUGGCUCUUGUCCAGACACCGGAAGCCUGUGCUGGCACUGGCCACGUCCCAGGAACUCGUGGCUGCUGCCUCAGAGGACUUCACAGUGCGUCUGUGGCCAAGGCAGUUGCUGGCACUGCCACAAAAGACAGAAGACUUUCCCUGUGGCACUGAGCUCCGGGGACACGAGGGCCCCGUAAGCUGCUGUAGCUUCAGCACCGAUGGAUGCAGCCUGGCCACCGGGGGCAGGGAUCGGAGUCUGCUCUGCUGGGAUGUGAGGACACCCAAAGCCCCUGUUCUGAUUUGCUCCUUCUCUGCCUGUCACCGAGACUGGGUCACUGGCUGUGCCUGGACCAAAGACAACCUCCUGGUCUCCUGCUCCAGUGAUGGCUCUGUAGGGCUGUGGGACCCAGAGUCGAGACAGCAGCUUGGUCAGUUCCUGGGUCACCAGAGUGCCGUGAGCGCCGUGCUGGCCGUGGAGGGGCACGUGGUAUCUGUGGGCCGAGAUGGGACCUUGAAAGUGUGGGACCAUCAGGGUGUGGAGAUGACCAGCAUCCCUGCUCACCCAGGACCCAUCAGCCACUGUGCAGCUGCCCUGGAGCCCAGUGCAGCUGGCCAGCUGGGGUCAGAGCUUCUGGUGGUAACUGUGGGAUUGGAUGGGGCCACACGGUUGUGGAAUCCACUCUUGGUGUUUCAAACACACAGCCUCCUGGGACACAGUGGCCCAGUCAGUGCAGCCGCUGUUUCAGAAACCUCAGGCCUCCUGCUGACUGCCUCAGAGGAUGGUUCCAUACAGCUCUGGCAGGUACCUGAAGAAGCAGAUGACACAUAUAUACCCAGGAGUCAUGCAGGCGUCACUGCUGUGGCCUGGGCCCCAGACGGUUCUAUAGCAGUGUCUGGGAAUCAAGCUGGGGAACUCACCUUGUGGCAGGAAGCAAAGGCUGUGGCCACAGCACAGGCUCCAGGCCUCAUCAGUGCUCUGAUCUGGUACUCAGCACACACCUUGAUUGUUGUCAGUGCUGAUGAAAAAGUCAGUGAGUGGCAAGUGGACCUGCAGAAGGGUUCGGCACCCAGAAAUUUCAGUCUUCACCUGAACCGAGUUCUGCAGGAGGACUUAGGGUUCCUGACAGGUGUAAGUCUGGUCCCUGACGGUCACUCCCUCAUCUUGGCCAAAGCAGAUUUGCAAUUACUGCACAUGAAGCCAGGCAAUGAGCCCUCUGUAAUCUGGAGAAGCUAUUCAGAAGAUCCUAUAAUGUUGUCCACCCACCAGGACUAUGGUGUGUUUGUCCUGCAGUCAAUGAACCUCAGAGUUCUUUCUUUCUCAAGCCAAAAGGAAUUAGGAGAGUUUGCAGAGUGCCCAGAAUUUGAUCUGAGCUUAGAGAAUCCUAAUAAGACCCUCAUAUCGGUAACUCAGGCCAAACCUGAAUCUGAGUCCUCAUUUUUGUGUGCCAGCUCUGAUGGGACGCUGUGGAACCUAGCUAGAUGCAACGUUGAAGGAGAAUGGACCACAGAUAAUAUCUGGCAGGAAAAAGUAGAAAUGCCUGAAACCCGAACUCCAGAGACAGACGCGUGUGUAUGUGCUGACACGUAUACCUGUCCAGCAGUCCCACAGCUAAAGACACGGCAACGUAGAAAGAUUCACACGGGCUCUGUCACAGCCCUCCACGUGCUGCCUGAGUUGCUGGUGACAGCUUCAAAGGACAGAGAUGUUAAACUGUGGGAGAGACCCAGUAUGCAGCUCCUGGGCCUGUUCCGAUGUGAAGGGGCAGUGAGCUGCCUGGAACCUUGGCUGGGUCCUAACUCUGCCCUGCAGCUCGCAGUGGGAGACACACAGGGCAAUGUAUACUUUCUGUCCUGGGAAUGAAGAUCACUGCUCAGGGCAGAGAGACCGCUUGUGCCAGAGAUGCAAAGCCUGAAGACACCAGUGGCUACGUUCUUGAUACAAUUAUAUAAAUAAAAGGACCGUAAGGUAUGACUCCUACCAGGAGGAGGAAUGAAAGUGAUGUUGACCAGCACUUAGUUUGAACAGAAAUCUGAAGACCUCUCACUUGUUCAAGGAAGAGGAAGAGAAGGAAGAAUGAGUCACUUGGGCCCUGGUUCAGGGUAUUUGGAAAGAACUGGGAUAGAACCAGGACAACGCUAGGUUCCUGUCACAGAAGCAGCCCCAUCUACUCAGAGCCAACUGCCCAGAUUUUAUGUGGAGAAAUCACCUGAAGGACUUUAUCUUAUUUCUACCAAUGCCUCAUAUUCUCUCUCAGCCUGAGGAUAAAGACAUAAGGAAUGCCAUCAGCUGACAAGUUUUAAUCAUAGGUCAUGCUUCUGUCUUUUAUCCCAUGCCUCAUGCAGGGCUCUAAAUAUACCUUCUAGACUACCUGCUCUACAUGAACCUUGUGACUAGAAGUCCAGGUUAAGGUAAUUUGAAACUUAUGAUUCAUACUACUACCCAGAAACGCUACAGAGAACCAUGGUACAGCAUCAUCCUGGAAGUCACUGGGUUCAAUCGUUCCCCUGAAAGCAUGGGCCAAGGAAGGAGGAAGCCCUAGAUGUCUGUCUUCCAUGCUCUAAAAAUUCUACAAAGGCACCCCAGCUGAGGAUGGAGGAGUGGGGCUGGAGAAAGUAAAGCAUACCUUGCUCAGUAGACUCAGCUCUGUUUACCAGGUCCACCUGAAGGGUGUGAUCUUUCUUAUCUUGGAGAUAUAAUUGCUAUGAGUGAACAACAGGUUCUAGGUAACAGUAAAUAUGUCCCCAAGGGAGUUGAAGGGAAAAUCAGUUUAGGUUUUACGUUAAAUAUUUUCUGAGUUCUUAUCGUUAAACAAUUUCAGUGUCUCCCAGUGCCUGGAUGAGUUCAAUUAUAGUCACUGGAUUAUAGGAUCAUAGGACAUUGGAACAGUCUUCUUCAACCCACAGAAGCACCUUUUUCAUGUGUCAGUUUUUAACAUCUGUUUUUACACAUCUGUGCAGUUUGGGUUUUUUUGUUUGUUUUGGCCGUGCCGUGCGGCUUGCAGGAUCUCAGUUCCCUGACCAGGGAAUGAACCUGGGCCAAAGCAGUGAGAGCCCAGAAUCCUAACCACUCGGCCAUCGGGGAACUCUCACCCCAAUUUGUUUUUGAAAUCUAGAACAUAUCUAUUCAAAGCUUGGUUUGUGGGCUUCCCUGGUGGCGCAGUGGUUGAGAGUCCGCCUGCCGAUGCAGGGGACGCGGGUUCGUGCCCCGGUCCGGGAAGAUCCCACAUGCCGCAGAGCGGCUGGGCCCGUGAGCCAUGGCCACUGAGCCUGCGCGUCCGGAGCCUGUGCUCCGCAACGGGAGAGGCCACGACACAAAAACAAAAACAAAGUUUGGUUUGUGGACCAGUGCUGUUCCACAAAUUCUUGAGGGUUCAUUUUCCUGGUACUUCAUUUUUAUUAUAUUUUACGAAAGUAUUGUUCCAUGACAGGUCAGAAAUUUGUUUUAACAAGACUGCUUCCCUUUCCCCAUCUGUAAAAUAGGCAUAAAAUUGCCUAUUUUUUAGGGAUGUUGUGAGGAUUAAAUGAGUUAAAACAUGUGAAACACUUAGAACAGUAGUUGACACUUACAUGGUAAAUGUUCAGGAAGUGCUUGACUGUUCUUUUCCUUAUCCACUAGUGCAAGUAUCACCUUGUUAUUCUUUCUCAAAAAUGUCUUGGUUAUUGGUAUAUAUUUAAUCAGUCAGAUGAAAUCUGGACUUAAUUUUUCAGUUAAAAAAUAUAUAUAUGGGGAACUGAUAGAAUUUUUAAAAAAGAAAAAAACCCCACUUGUUGGCUCUAAAUCUACCUGGAAAUAAAACACAUCACUUCCACUCAUAUUUUAUAUAUGUGAGCAAAGCAAGUCACACGGCUCUGCCUAUUGUCAAAGGGGAGGGAAGUGUCAUCCUACCAUGUAUCUGGAAGAACUAGGAACCAGAUACACAGUUAUACCCUCAAAGAACCUGUGUUGAUGCUUUUCCAGUAGAAUGGCUCUUAGUCCUUUUUUAAAAAAGAUCAGUUAAGAUUUACACAGAAUAUUCCCACAUACCCUUCUUCACCCAGCUUCCUCUAGUGUUAACAUCUUACAUAACCAAAAAAUUAACAUUGAUACAAUAUUAUUAACUACAUAUGUGAUUCGAUUUCCUCAGUUUUUCCACUAGUAUCUUCAUUUUGUUCCAGGUCCAAUCCAGAAUACCACAUUGCAUUUAGUCAUUAUGGCGCCUUAGUCUAAUCCUUCAGCUGUGACCCUGUCUCAGACUUUCCAUAGUCUUGACAUUCUUGGAGAUUUCUGGUCAGGUGUUUUGUAGAAUAUCCCUCAGUUUGGCUUUGUCUGCUGUCUUCUCAUGAACAGACUGAAAUUAUGAAUUUAAAGGAAGAAUACAAGAGAUGAUGUGCCCUUCUUGUUACAUCAUAUCAAAAGCAAUGAUAUCAACAUGACUUAUUACUAGUGGUGUUAACCUUGAUCACUUGUAAGGUUGACGCGAUGUUUGCCAGGUUUUUCUUACUGUACCUUCUCCAUAUUGUUUGUUAGAAGCAAGUCAUUAAGUCUAGCUCACACUCAAGGGGAAGGGGAUUAAGCCUCUAAGAGGGAGAUAUAUCAAAGAAUUUGUGGUAAUCACCACAAAAUCAAUAAAUUUUGAGGUAAGUGUUUUUAGACUAUGCAAAUAUUCUGUUUUCACUGACUUUUUAAUAUUCAUGCAUCAAUCUUGCCUGAGCAAUUAUGACUGUGAUUUUCUAAUGAUGAUUUUCUAUUUCCCUCAGCCCUUCUAUAUUAAUUGAAAUUCUAAAAGGAAUGUUUAUCCCCUCUUCCCCACUUAUUUAUAUAUUGAGUCAUUCACAUAUCAGUAUGGACUCAUGAAUAUCUAUUUUACUUUUUGGGAGCCUAUUGCAUUUUAUUACUUAAACUACAUAGUAUGUAUAUUUCAAUGCAACUUUUUUGGCCACUAUUUUUAAAGGAAAAAUAUAUAUCACAAAAAUUCAGUAUAGCAUUUUAAAUUGAGAUAUAAUUCAUUUUCACCUUUUUUUUUUUUUU